rnacentral:rRNA from 1 species
CCUACGGGAGGCAGCAGUGAGGAAUAUUGGUCAAUGGGCGCGAGCCUGAACCAGCCAAGUAGCGUGAAGGAUGACUGCCCUACGGGUUGUAAACUUCUUUUAUAAAGGAAUAAAGUGAGGCACGUGUGCCUUUUUGUAUGUACUUUAUGAAUAAGGAUCGGCUAACUCCGUGCCAGCAGCCGCGGUAAUAAGGAGGAUCCGAGCGUUAUCCGGAUUUAUUGGGUGUAAAGGGAGCGUAGAUUGGUUGUUAAGUCAGUUGUGAAAGUUUGCGGCUUAACCGUAAAAUUGCAAUUGAUACUGGCAGCCUUGAGUACAGUUGAGGUAGGCGGAAUGCGUGGUGUAGCGGUGAAAUGCUUAGAUAUCACGAAGAACUCCGAUUGCGAAGGCAGCUUACUAACCUGCCACUGACAUUGAUGCUCGAAAGUGUGGGUAUCAAACAGGAUUAGAUACCCUAGUAGUC